AGACAGCUAGUCCAAGACAAGACCCCUGAUUUCGACUCAGAGUAUUGUGGUUUAAAUCCACAGCCGUCUU
rnacentral:tRNA from 1 species